rnacentral:lncRNA from 1 species
CGUGUAGAAUCCUGUUUAGGCUUUUAUACACAGUUUAAUAUAAAGGUGAAAAUUCAUUUAAUUUAUUAUUUUCUGUAUGUGUGUGUGUGUGUGUGUGUUUUAUACGGUUGAUUAUUGUGUGCAAAAUCUUGAGAGAAAAAAAUCAUCUUAUAAAGAUAUGAAAAACAAACUUUGUAUCAUGUAAGCUGUUCAGCAGUAUCACAACUUGAUGCAAGCUUUAGGGGAGUAUUAAAACUUGUUAACAAGUUGGGAACAACCACUCAAUGUAAUAUAAUGACUAUCCCUUUUUAUGCCCUUAACAUGAC